rnacentral:rRNA from 1 species
AUACGGAGGAUCCGAGCGUUAUCCGGAUUUAUUGGGUUUAAAGGGUGCGCAGGCGGGAGAUUAAGUCGGCGGUGAAAUUUUGCAGCUCAACUGUAAAAGUGCCUUCGAAACUGGUUUCCUUGAGUGUAGAUGAAGUAGGCGGGAUUUGUGGUGUAGCGGUGGAAUGCAUAGAUAUCACGAGGAACUCCGAUUGCGCAGGCAGCUUACUAAACUACUACUGACGCUCAGGCACGAAGGCGUGGGGAUCAAACAGGAUUAGAUACCCUGGUAGUCCACGCAGUAAACGAUGAUUACUAGCUGUUUGCGAUACAAUGUAAGCGGCUGAGCGAAAGCGUUAAGUAAUCCACCUGGGGAGUACGUUCGCAAGAAUGAAACUCAAAGGAAUUGACGGGG